rnacentral:rRNA from 1 species
GACAGAGGUGCCAAGCGUUAGGCGGAAUCACUGGGCUUAAAGCGUGUGUAGGCGGAUCGUUAAGUGCCUUGUGAAAUCCCACGGCUCAACCGUGGAACGGCUUGGCAUACUGGCGGUCUUGAGCCAGCUAGGGGCGACUGGAACAAACGGUGGAGCGGUGAAAUGCGUAGAUAUCGUUUGGAACGCCAAUGGUGAAAACAGGUCGCUGGGGCUGUGCUGACGCUGAGACACGAAAGCCAGGGGAGCAAACGGG